rnacentral:rRNA from 1 species
CGUACACUCCUGCGGGAGGCAGCAGUGGGGAAUAUUGCACAAUGGGCGCAAGCCUGAUGCAGCCAUGCCGCGUGUAUGAAGAAGGCCUUCGGGUUGUAAAGUACUUUCAGCGGGGAGGAAGGCGAUAAGGUUAAUAACCUUGUUGAUUGACGUUACCCGCAGAAGAAGCACCGGCUAACUCCGUGCCAGCAGCCGCGGUAAUACGGAGGGUGCAAGCGUUAAUCGGAAUUACUGGGCGUAAAGCGCACGCAGGCGGUCUGUCAAGUCGGAUGUGAAAUCCCCGGGCUCAACCUGGGAACUGCAUUCGAAACUGGCAGGCUAGAGUCUUGUAGAGGGGGGUAGAAUUCCAGGUGUAGCGGUGAAAUGCGUAGAGAUCUGGAGGAAUACCGGUGGCGAAGGCGGCCCCCUGGACAAAGACUGACGCUCAGGUGCGAAAGCGUGGGGAGCAAACAGGAUUAGAUACCCGGGUAGUCCCA